rnacentral:lncRNA from 1 species
GUCAUUCUCUUGAGCCACUCCCGCGGCAUGUGGAGGUUCCCAGGCCAGGGGUUGAGUCAGAGCUGUAGCCGCCAGCCUACACCACAGCCACAGCAACACAGGAUCCAAGCAGUGUCUGCGACCUACACCACAGCUCACGGCAUCGCCGGAUCCUUAACCCACUGAGCAAGGCCAGGGGUCAAACCCGCAACCUCAAUCCAACCUGGCUAGUUGGAUUCGUUAACCACUGAGCCACGAUGGGAACUCCUCCCCAGAGUAAUUUAUUUUAAAAAAAUUUGCUUUUCAAGUUUAUUAUAAAUUAAGUGACCAUGUAUGUGUGUAUCAAUUUCUGGACUCUAAAUUCUAUUAUUUUGGUCUAUUUGUGUAUUUUUACAAUAAUUCUACACCCUAUAAAUUUAUAAGUCUUGAUACUUGAUGAUAGUCCUAUAGCUCUGUUCUUCCUCAAUAUUAUUUUGGCUAUGAUUAGCUCUUUGCAUUUCCAUGUGUAUUUUAGAAUCAGCUUUCCAAUAACUACCAAACACAUACUCUCACAUAAAACUGUGGGGGGUUUGCUUUGGCUUGCACUGAAUGUAUAGAUCAAUUUGGGGACAUUGUCUUCUUUACAAAGUUGUGCCUUCCAUUCCAUGAAGAUGGUAUACCCCUCCAUAUAUUUAGAUUUUCCAUAAUUUUUUCCAAUUGUGUAGUUAUCUUUUUGUUAUCGAUUUCUAGUUUAAUUGUAUUGUAGGCCAAGAACAUACUCUGUGUGAUUUAAAUUCUUUUAAACUCAUGGAGAUUUGCUUUGAUCAUGUAUACUGCCAGUUUGGGUAAAUAUUCCACGUUCGCUUGAAUACAGAUUAUAUUCUGCAGUUAGGGAAUGGAUGGGAGCCACAGCAGUGACAACACUGAAUUCUUUUUUUUUUUUUUUUGUCUUUUUCCCUUUUCUUGAGCCACUCCCUCAGCAUAUGGAGGUUCCCAGGCUAGGGGUCCAAUCAGAGCAGUAGCCACCGGCCUAUGCCACAGCCACAGCAAGGCGGGAUCCGAGCCACGUCUGCAACCUACACCAUAGCUCACGGCAACUCCAGAUCCUUAACCCACUGAGCAAGGCCAGGGAUUGAACCCGCAACCUCAUGGUUCCUAGUCAGAUUUGCCAACCACUGCACCACAAUGGGAACUCCUGACAACACUGAAUUCUUAACCCCUAAAUCACCAGGGAACUUCUGAAUGUUCUAUUAAUUGUAUUGUUCUACUUACUGAUUUUUUUGGUCUACUUCCUCUAUCAUUUUCUGAGAAAAAGAUUUACCUACUUCUCUAAAUUCAGUUAACUUUCAUUUUAUAUAUUUUAAGGCUAUUUAUUAUAUGCAUAAAAAAUUAGCAGUGUUAUGCUAAAUAGAGUUAAAUCAAUUCUGGUGGAUUGACUCUUUUAUCAUUAUCAAAUAUCAUUUUCUUAGUAAUAAUUUGUAUGUUUGUAAUAUUUAGUUUGUUAUGUAUAGUGACACUAUCUUUGUUUCCCUUAAUGUUUGUAUACUAUAUUGUGUUCUAUCCUCAACAUUCCUAUGUCUUUAUAUUUAAGGUGUGUUUCACAUAAUUAAGUUUUUGAAAUUCAGUCUCAGCAUCUUUAAAUUUUAAUUGAAGCAUUUGAUCCAUUUACACAUCAGUGUAAAUACUGAAAAUUACAUAUUUGAUUUAUAUCUAUAUCUUGUCAUUUUUCCUCUUUGUUGCUUUCUUUCCAAUUAUUCAAGCAUUUUUAAUAAUUUCAUUUUUACCCUCUAUUAUCUUUUUAGAUAUUACAUUAUUUUAUUUUAUUUCAGCACUAUUCAUAAUAGCCAAGAUACGGAAGCAACUUAAUUGUCCAACUACAGAUGAAUGGAUUAAGAUGUGGUAAAUAUAUAAAAUGUAAUACUACUCAGCCAUAAAAACAGAAUGAAAUAAUGCCUUUUGCAGCAACAUGGAUGCAACUAGAGAUUAUCAUGCUAAGUAAAGUAAGUCAGAAAGAGAAAGACAAAUACUAUAUGAUAUCACUUAUCUGUGGACUCUAAAAUAUGGAACAAAUGAACCUAUCUACAAAACAGAAACAGUCUCAUAGACACAGGGAACAGACCUGUGGUUGAUAAGGGGUUGGAGAGAGGGAGUGGGAUGGACUGAGAAUUUGCAAACUAUUACAUUUAGAAUGGAUAAGCAAUGAGGUCCUACUGUAUAGCACAGGCAACUAUAUCCAUUCUCUUGGGAUAGACCAUGAAUGAAGAUAAUAUAAGAAAGGAAAUGUGUGUGUGUGUAUGACUGACUGGGUCACUGUACAGUGGAAAUUGGCACAACGUUGUAAAUCAACUAUGGUUUUUUAAAAAACAAAUUAAUACUUUUGCUACAUCCUAGACAAUGAAUGGGCUUUAGUAGAAUACUUUAACUCCAUAUAUUUCCUUUCACUCGGGUAGGUUUUGGAAGAUAGGUUUCUUAGGUAAAAAAGGCAGGAGGAAGACAUUGAGAACAGCAAGUCUGGGUGCUGACCUUGCCCUCUCUCCAGACAUGAAGGAGAGAAAAGUAGAGGAUAUUCAGAGGGAGGAGCAUAGUUGGUUUUUUUUUUUUUUUUUUUUUCUUUUCUUUUUUCCUUCUUCUUUUAAUGGCUGCAUCUUAGGAUAUGGAAAUUCCCAGGCUAGGGACUGAAUUGGAGUGGCAGUCUGUAGCGGUGGGACUAUACCACAGCCCCAGCAACACUGGAUCAGAGCUGCAUCUGCAACCUAGCCACAGCUUGCAGCAACGCUGGAUCCUUAACCCACUGAGGGAGGGCAGGGAUUGAACCCACAUCCUCAAGGACACUAUGUAGGGUUCUCAACACACUAAGCCACAAUGGGAACUCUGGGGAGCAUAGUUUAAUGUGCUCUGACCAUGGAGUUAAGGUGAGGGAGGCUGAGAAACAAGCCUGGGAGUAAAUACAGGGAUUUAUCAUGAGGGUCCACCCAUCCAGUCUGGAUUUCACUCUGUGGGCAGUGGGAUUCAUUGGUAGUUUUUAGAGUUAAAACAGUGACAUGGCCAGAACUACCAUGUACAAGGGUCACUCAGUGCAGCAGAAUAGAGGAGCGACUGGGAAGGAAGGGACUGAACACAGGGAGAGUAGUCUGGAAGCAGUUGCAAUAAUAUUCCACAUUCAGUGGCUGCCUGGUGCAGAUAAUCAACCCCAAACUUCUAAUUGUGGUCUACAAGGCUCUGAUUGAUCUGGCCUCUAUUUACCAGUCUGAUCUCAGCUAUGUC